UACGAAGGGUGCAAGCGUUACUCGGAAUUACUGGCGUAAAGCGUGCGUAGGUGGUGAGUUAAGUCUGUCGUGAAAGCCCCGGGCUCAACCUGGGAACUUGGCAUUUGAGACUGCAUAGCUAGGGUGCGGAAGAGGGAAGCGGAAUUUCCGGUGUAGCGGUGAAAUGCGUAGAUAUGCGGAGGAACACCGAUGGCGAAGGCAAUCCCCUGGACCUGUACUGACGCUCAUGCACGAAAGCGUGGGGAGCAAACAGG
rnacentral:rRNA from 1 species